AGGGGGCCUGGUGUGGCUCCGGGGGCUGGGGGAGGAGAGUACCAUUUAUGCUGAAGUCUCAAUGUCUAUGUUACAGCAGCCAAAAAGGCCCCCAAAGGCAAGGAUGCUUCAAAGGAAGCCCCCGCAAAGCAGGCUCCUGCUGAGCCCCCCAAAGAGGCCCCACCUGAGGACCAAUCCCCAACUGCAGAAGAGCCCACAGGCAUCUUCCUGAAAAGGCCAGAUUCUGUGUCAGUGGAGACUGGGAAGGACGCGGUGAUUCUGGCCAAGGUGAACGGGAAGGAGCUUCCGGGCAAGCCCACCAUCAAGUGGUUCAAGGGGAAGUGGCAGGAGCUGGACAGCAAAAGCGGAGCCCGCUUCGCCUUCAAGGAAUCCCACGACUCUGCCAGCAAUGUGUACACCGUGGAGCUCCACAUUGGGAAGGUGGUCCUAGGGGACCGUGGGGAUUACCGCCUAGAGGUCAAAGCCAAGGAUGCCUGCGACAGCUGCUCAUUCAACGUGGAUGUGGAGGCACCCCGUCAGGACUCAUCUGGUCAGAGCCUUGAGAGCUUCAAGCGUUCGGGUGAGGGGAAGUCAGAAGAUGCAGGCGAGCUGGAUUUCAGUGGCUUGCUGAAGAAGAGGUGAGUUGC